rnacentral:lncRNA from 1 species
CAAUGUUGGCCAAGCUGGUCUCGAACUACUGACCUCAAGUGAUCCUCCUGCCUCAGCCUCCCAAAGUGCUGGGAUUACAGGUGUGAGCCACCACCAUGCCUGGCCUUAUUGGGUAUCAUUUAUAGCUGAUUUCCCUCAAAGUUCCUUCUUUUCCUGUGCCUUUUCCUAGUUGAUGAGUCUCAGGGACACUCCUACCUUGUCAUCAACUACCCAGAUGCUCAGUCACCUGUUGCUUUAGCAUUGAGUUCCUGUUUCUCUUGUCUCAGGUACCCUUUAGAGACCUCCAAUUGGU